rnacentral:rRNA from 1 species
UACGGGGGGGGUAAGCGUUGUUCGGAAUUACUGGGCGUAAAGGGCUCGUAGGCGGCCAACUAAGUCAGACGUGAAAUCCCUCAGCUUAACUGGGGAACUGCGUCUGAUACUGGAUGGCUUGGAUCCGGAAGAGGGAUGCGGAAUUCCAGGUGUAGCGGUGAAAUGCGUAGAUAUCUGGAGGAACACCGGUGGCGAAGGCGGCAUCCUGGACCGGUAUUGACGCUGAGGCGCGAAAGCCAGGGGAGCAAACGGG